rnacentral:rRNA from 1 species
GACGAACCGAGCGAACGUUAUUCGGAAUCACUGGGCUUAAAGGGCGCGUAGGCGGGCCCGAGUCCGGGGUGAAAGCCCCCAGCCCAACUGGGGAAGUGCCUCGGAUACUGCCGGCCUCGAGGGAGGUAGGGGCGUGCGGAACUUCCGGUGGAGCGGUGAAAUGCGUAGAUAUCGGAAGGAACACCGGUGGCGAAAGCGGCGCGCUGGACCUCUUCUGACGCUGAGGCGCGAAAGCCAGGGGAGCGAACGGG